rnacentral:rRNA from 1 species
UACGGAGGUGGCGAGCGUUGUUCGGAAUCACUGGGCGUAAAGGGCGCGUAGGCGGGGCUGGAAGUCGGGUGUGAAAGCCCCGGGCUCAACCCGGGAACGGCGCCCGAGGCUCUGGCUCUUGAGUCCCGGAGAGGCGGGUGGAAUUACUGGUGUAGCGGUGAAAUGUGUAGAGAUCAGGAGGAACACCGGUGGCGCAGGCGGCCCGCUGGACGGAGACUGACGCUGAGGCGCGAAAGCGUGGGGAGCAAA